UUCUAAAACAUAAUAUUCAUUUAAAUUUAAAAAAUUUGAUAUAUUUAUCUAAAUUUAAAUAUUUUUCUCUACACAGUUUAUUUUAAAACCCAAGAAUAACAUUUUUGCAUUUAUUAUCUAUAUUUUGUUUUAAACAAAUUUAUCACAGUCUUAAAAUACAAUGUUUUCUAAUAACUAUCAUCAUGAAUUCCUAAAAAAAAAAAAUCAAUCACAUUAGAGGAAUAAGUAAAAGUAAAGUGGACAUUGACUGUUAAUGUCGAUUUAGUCGAUUAAUGUCGACAGUUAAAAACAACAUAAGGAGAAAAUAUGUCGAAUUUGUUGAAAUUUAAUUAGUCCAAAUAUUACCAACUAAGUAAUUUUUUUUUCUCUUUUUUUCUCGUGAAAAAUGUUUAUAAUUCUGAGUAAGUACUAUAUUUAGAAUUAAUUGUUAAAAUAGUUAUAUUACCAGUCUGUUAAGUAUUAUAUAAGAUUUAAGUCACUAAUGUAACUCGGUACCUACUAAAAUUUCAAACACGACUUUGUUUCAUCAGGUACCUAAAUAAUUUUCAAAGAUAAAUUAGUAUCAUUUAAAAUUCUUUGAAACAUACGUAAUUAGUUUAAAAAUCUAUUGAAUUUUUUUUAUGUAAUAUGUAAGACUAAUAUUUGACCAUGUUGCAUCGAACAAACUGCCUGUAUAAAUCUUGAAAAAAAAAAAUGCUGAUUCGUGUAGAAUAACUAUUAUGAGAAGAUUAAUCCUUGAUACAUUUCCACAAUAUGUCAAUAUACUAUAAUGAGUCAAUUUGGAAUUGUCUUGUCAUCAAGAAAUUAGUUUUAUUUAAUUAAGUAUACAAAUUUAGAGUUAAAAUUAACAAAUUCAAGGAACAAAACAUUCAAAGUAGAUAUUCGUGAUUAUUAGCAACCUAGUAUCAAUAUAUUCAGGCUAUGGACUACAGUAUUAACAUGUUAGUUAUUUUAUUUUAUUCAAUUCUACCCUAAAAUUAAAACUGUUUGAAAUAAAUGGCCAACAGAAGUCGGAUUUUUAAUGACAAAAUUGUAGCACAAAGAUAUCAUUCCAUUUUCAUACAUUUUUUUGAUAAGAAAAUGUGCAGCACACUGAAAUACUAUCGAAUAUAUUCAUUUCAUAAAAACAUUUUAUUAGAAGCAGGUAUUAAAUUUUAUUAUAUUUUGGUAAAUAACUAACUUUGGAAGACUGCAUAACCAACCGUGUUCAUUUGUUGGCUUAAAGUUACCAUUACUCCAAUAUCAAGUUUAAGCUAAUGGCUGCAGGAGCAGAAACAAUGAAGUCAACUAUGAAAAAUAAUAAUAAUUUUUGUACACAAGUGUAUACAUUGUCGUGCAAGUGCAUAGCUAAGAUAUGGUUGGGCCACUUUUAUCUUUUUUAUUGUUCGGUGGCCACCCUACUUUUUUGUUAUUAAUAUCCUCAAGGCUGAUUGAGUCAAAUCUUAAGUUCAACAAUAUAACAGGCUUGUUCACACUUCAACCUAAAGUAAGAGUAACAAAACUUAAGUUUUAUGAAAAAUCAAUUAUAUUUGUGUUAUAAAUUAUGUAAUCUUUUGUCUGUCAGAUAGGUGCAGUAAAGUCCAACAGCCUAGUAAAUUUUGAACUUUAAAUAUUGUUAUUUUUUUAAAAAAAAGAAAAGUAAGGUUUUUUAUGAAUGCAGACUUUACCUCAGAUCUUUUCCAUUUAAAAAUUUAGGAUGUAAAAAUAUGAAAAAAUCAAAUAAUAUGUUGAAUAACAAUUUCUUCAAAUCGAUAAAUGCCAUAGAAAAAUAAGGCAACUAACGCACAAAAAUUAUAACGUUAUUUUUUCAUAAUCAGAGUUUCAACAAUAUUAUUAAUUGCUAAUUAAACUAAAGUUCAAGAUUUCCAGAUUAGAAUAUAAAUAUUAAAAAUAUUAUUACAUAAAGAGUACGCUGUUAAUUAUGAAGAAACUGCUCAGCAAGACUGAUCAAAAUCUUAACUAAACUUAGUUAUUGACUCUAUCAAACAAUCCGAAGAAAAGGUGUUUGGGUUAUCAUUUCCUAACCUAACCAGGACACAUAGUACAUAUAACAAUCAGUCGGCAAAACAUUUCAUUUGACCAUAAUUGGGUCACAAAAAUCAUACUUAAUGAUGCAAUCAUGUCAAACUUAUUAUUUGGUCAAAUAAUCGAUUACUUGAAUAAUGUUUUCAAGUUAUAGAUUAAAUAAAUAAUAAAAAAAAAAAAAAAUGUACUCAAUGGUCCUUUAUACAACUUUUUUUAAUGUUUCCUUUCCGUUUUAAAUACUGAUUUGUACAAUGUUUUUUUUUUAAAUUUAUGUUUUAGUGGUAAUGUUUCCUAAUUUAUUAUGGUCGUUAUUGAUCUCAAUAUUAUAAUAAUUUAUAAUUUUUGUGCUGCCCCUUUGAGGAUUAAUGUAAAUAAUAACAGUAAUAAUUUUAAGAUUUUAUUUAUACUACUAUUAUUUUCAUUAUUAUUAUUAUUUUUUUUGUUAUAGCUUUCAUUUGUUAUUAAUAGUAUUGAUAAUCCAAAUGUUACAUUAUCUUUUGUACAGGGGAACUAUAAUAUAACAUAGGCUAUUAAAAUAAAAAUACAUUCAAUUAUUUAAUAUUUUAAAAAG
rnacentral:lncRNA from 1 species